rnacentral:lncRNA from 1 species
AUGGAAAUGUUAGGAACCAACUCAUGCCACAGAGAAGAGCUGAAGAGGAUACAGAAGAUGAAAAGGAAAUUGAGAGGCCAAGCAACUUGCCCAAGGUCAAAGAGCUGCAAAAUGAGUGACAUCUUGAAAAGAACAGAAACAGACUACAGUUAA